GGGAAAUCUUAACACUACAGCAUACAAUGACAUUCACGAUGAUUCUGUGCUUCCAAUUUUGUGGCAACAGUUUGGGGAAGGCCCUUUCCUGUUUCAGCAUGACAAUGCCCCCCGUGCACAAAGCAAGGUCCAUACAGAAAUGGUUUGUCGAGAUCAAAGUGGAAGAACUUGACUGGCCGGCACAGAGCCCUGACCUCAACACCAUCGAAUACCUUUUGGAUGAAUCGGAACUCGAGCCAGGCCAACAUCAGUGCCUGACCUCACUUAUGCUCGUGGCUGAAUGUAAGACCUGAGCCCUAGGACCAUGCCUCAGGACUACCUGGUAUGAUGACUCCUUGCUGUCCCCAGUCCACCUGGCCGUGCUGCUGCUCCAGUUUCAACUGUUCUGCCUGCGGCUAUGGAACCCUGACCUGUUCACCGGACGUGCUUGUUGCACCCUCGAC
rnacentral:lncRNA from 1 species